rfam:Brachypodium distachyon strain Bd21 chromosome 5, whole genome shotgun sequence.
GAAAUACUCCCCCCGUUCCUAAAAAGGAUGUCGCAAAAUUUUCAAAAUAUGGAUGUACAUCCAAAUUUAAACAAAUUUGAGACAUCUUUUUUUGGACGGAGGAAAUAUAUA